GACGAACGCUGGCGGCGUGCUUAACACAUGCAAGUCGAACGGAAAGGCCCUUCGGGGUACUCGAGUGGCGAACGGGUGAGUAACACGUGGGUGAUCUGCCCUGCACUUUGGGAUAAGCCUGGGAAACUGGGUCUAAUACCGAAUAGGACCACGCGCUUCAUGGUGUGUGGUGGAAAGCUUUUGCGGUGUGGGAUGGGCCCGCGGCCUAUCAGCUUGUUGGUGGGGUAAUGGCCUACCAAGGCGACGACGGGUAGCCGGCCUGAGAGGGUGACCGGCCACACUGGGACUGAGAUACGGCCCAGACUCCUACGGGAGGCAGCAGUGGGGAAUAUUGCACAAUGGGCGCAAGCCUGAUGCAGCGACGCCGCGUGAGGGAUGACGGCCUUCGGGUUGUAAACCUCUUUCAAUAGGGACGAAGCGCAAGUGACGGUACCGAUAGAAGAAGCACCGGCCAACUACGUG
rnacentral:rRNA from 1 species